rnacentral:rRNA from 1 species
AGUGAACGCUGGCGGUAGGCCUAACACAUGCAAGUCGAACGGCAGCACAGUAAGAGCUUGCUCUUACGGGUGGCGAGUGGCGGACGGGUGAGGAAUACAUCGGAAUCUACUUUUUUGUGGGGGAUAACGGAGGGAAACUUACGCUAAUACCGCAUACGACCUACGGGUGAAAGCAGUGGAUCUUCGGACCUUGCGCGAUUGAAUGAGCCGAUGUCGGAUUAGCUAGUUGGCGGGGUAAAGGCCCACCAAGGCGACGAUCCGUAGCUGGUCUGAGAGGAUGAUCAGCCACACUGGAACUGAGACACGGUCCAGACUCCUACGGGAGGCAGCAGUGGGGAAUAUUGGACAAUGGGCGCAAGCCUGAUCCAGCCAUACCGCGUGGGUGAAGAAGGCCUUCGGGUUGUAAAGCCCUUUUGUUGGGAAAGAAAAGCAGCAGGUUAAUACCCCGCUGUUCUGACGGUACCCAAAGAAUAAGCACCGGCUAACUUCGUG